ACAGUGCCAGCAGGUAGAUGAAUGAAGAUUGACGGGGGCCGUUUAUUUCCACAGAAAAUAAUAGAACGGCUGAGCAAACCCUGCUAUGCUCCCAAAACUUUGGCCCAAUAAGUCAAAAGCACAAAGAAGACAAGCUAGGCUGAGGCUGGAGGGUCUCCUCUCUGUUUCCUUGUCGUGGGCUUUUUCAAGACAGCUUUGUGUAAUUAGUGAAACCAUCUUGCACUAUAAAUACGCAUUUAUAAUUUAUCAUUUAUAAUACUGCUAGUUGUAUUAUGUUUCCUCCCCUAUGGCAUUUAUAGCUGUUCUGACAGACAUAGGAAUUAUGGGAUCUGAUUUAUUUUGAGGCUGAAUGUCUAAUCUAUGAGUAUUUCUUACACUGUGGGAGGAAAUGUGUCACUGUCUCUGCUGCCAAUCGAGAGUACCGUAUUUAACAGAGCUUCUCUUUCCUCCUUACCUGCAGCAGUGCAUGGUGUGAGAUAGACAUACCAGUACAGCGUCUAAGAGUUUAAUUUCCAGUACAUGAUAGAAGACUGACUACUGCUACAGCAUGCAGAAAGGUUGGCAAUAGCACAGAAACUGGAAUAUACUGGGUUUAGGUUUGGAAUAGAUAAGUGAGGGAAUAGAUCUCAUUUAUAAACAGAAACAUUUUUCUUCAGUGCACAGUGCGUGUUCAUAAUGGAUACGGUACUUUACUAUUUUUGCAUUGUAUCAUUUAAUCUUACUCGCAAUCCCUUCCUAUAAUAUUCCAUACUCUUGGCAACAAGCCACUGUAAUAACACUUAUGAUGGGAGCCAGAUUUUCAUGGGAAAAUCCCGCAUUGGAGUUAAUCCUCAUGUAAUUAGUACAAAGCAUGUGACUAGCCGUCGCUUUGUACAAUACGUCACGACUUACUGACGUACAAAAGUGAAGAAACAACUCGAUUCACCGCUUGAUUAAAAGCGUCCUAACCAAGUCAACAUUUACGGCAGAAUAAAAACCAAUCAAACGCUAGUCGAAAACAAGAAUGUAUUGCAAUUUCAAUGUGAAAGCAGAAUCCGUCAUCUCAUCCUCUGGGGCCUCACGCGGUCGGAGCUGUGAGGAAACCAGCUGUUUUCCAGACUCCAGGUUUGCACCGAAUAUAUCAGGUUUUAGACAAUCAACACAACUGGAAAGCAUGAGAACUCCCCAUUUCUUCAAGUGAAGCCCUCUGGGGAUUUGUGCGAACUACACAACCAGCCUCAAAUUCCUCGGGUGAACUCUUCAUCCUCUGGCCCCGUGCUUCACAAUGAGGAUUAUUACAGAAGGCAACAUACAGUAACUGAGGUCACUACUAACAUUCACAAAUUAAUAAUCUGUGAAUAGCUGUGCCAGAACCCACACCAGAUCAAGUGGACUGAAAAUGGAUGGAGGGCGAUGAACUGAGAAAAUGAUCCAGUGACAGUGUUGCCACUUUGUAGCCAUCAGAUUUCAGGCAUUAAGUAAGGCUGAUCUGCGCUGGUCUGGAGGGACCUCUUUGGAAAAGAUAUCCCUAUUCCUUCCGUAGCCCAGUUUCUGAAAGAAACCAGAGCCUAGUUUGGUGACCAGAGAGACACUGAGCUGGAGGAGAUGUGUUCCCUCAGAUUUGACAGAGUAUGGCUCAUUACUUCAUUGCCUGGCUGAACUCCACUCUGUUUUUCUGUGUGCCUGAACCGGUUUAGGCAAUCAUGGUUGACAGGUUGAGGUCCAUUGUAGGUUCAAACCUGGGCCAUGUCCCUUGCAGGCCAGAACUGGGGUUCCCCAAGAGGUGGCACUCGAUUAUCUGAGCCCUGCUGAGGGUUGGGUGGCAUGGGUGACACAGCGCCCCCUGUGGCCUCCUGGGUGCUUGCAGGUCUAUGGUGCUGUCAGUGAGGAACACAGCUCUCCUCCAAUCAGCACCAAACCUCCUGCAUGGGGCUGGGCCACCUGUGCCACCUGUACAAAACUUUGAACCUCCGUAUUUACUUUAGUAUCAGUUUGGCAUCUACUGUUAUCAGAUUUCAGUCAUUGCUGUCAUAAAUUAUGGAACUGUUUUGUAAUCCAUUCUAAUCUAGAGGCCAUACUGAAUAAAUUUAUGAAUCAAUAAAAAGAUGUCAUAAGAGAAUAAGAACAGUUACAAGAAACAGGAGGCCCAUCUAGCCUAUUUAGCAGUUAGAUACAUUUUUUUAUAGGCAAAUUAAGGGUUUGAAUUGGAAAAACAGCUGAUCCCCAUUUUUAUAGUGGCAGUGGGAACUAAUUUGCCUCAGAUGAUCCUGGUAGAGCACCAUACUGACAAAUUCCCAAAGGUUCAAGAAUGCUGCCAUUGCACGGUCAUUGUAAAUCGCAGAACGGAUUGCUUGUCCAAAAGUUUAUUUUCCAGGGAGAUAUCCGUGCAGGACAGCUACUGCCCAGUAUGUGCAUUAAGGAAACACUCCUGAAACUACAGGACAUAUAGAAAGAGCUGAAGGCAGAAACACACCCAGUGCAGACCUGCAAAACACACUGACAGUCCACCUGCUGCAGGACUGAGGCACCACAUAAUCCCACAAUGAUAAAGGGACAAUGUAACCGAAAGUCCUUGUACUUGUAAGUAUACAGAUUUGAGAGUUCAUGACUUGACUGUGCCAGUGUGUUGUUCUGCCAAGCAGUGUUAUUUUAAGAAACUCCGUCUUUCACCAGGUUUGACAAGACAUGCUAAUACUUGAAGCACGACCUGACGAACUCUUGCUUUAUUCCUUUAGUUGUUGUUUUUUGUUUGUGGCUUCCUAUCAGGAAAGGCACAGGAAUUGGGGGUAUUGUUUUAAUUUCCAUUAUUAUAGAAAUAAUUAGCGGUUUGUUUUCACUGUUGUUGGAUACGGCAUUAUCAGUGACAAAGUGGAAAGUGUUGUUUUUCCUCGCGACAGGAGACUCACCAAAUUUGGGACUGGUUCCCACUGUCCAACACAGUGAAAGUAUCGUCACGGAUAUCUGCAUUUAACUACAUUUCAUUAACCACAACAAUAAUAGGGAUCCCAUUAGAGUCCCUUAAGACUAGGCGUGCAAUAAUAACAUUGACAUUUUCUUUUUUGGAAGUUUAAACAGCUGUGCAUUGUCAAUAAACCAGGCAAAAAUUCUUUGAGACUCUGCUGCUAGCUCAAUGUUAAAUCAUAAUAAACCUUUCAUCAUACACGGAAUCCCAUCUCAUAACACUGUACAAUAAAACAAUCAAACAUAAGAGACGAGUACACACAAAAUCAAACAGUAAAGAUUUAAAGAUGCGGUAUAAAAGAGGGUUUCAACACAGGGCUUGAAAGUGCAGAAUAUCUGAGAGAUCAUACAAUAGACUUAGAGAAACACAGCAGAAAGCACAGUGUCCUCUUGUUCGGAGCCUCGUUUAGACAACUGACAGUCCGAACAGCACGAACAAUGUGCUGUAGAUGUGGAAGGGUUAGCAGGUCACAGAUGCAGUCAGCAGCCAAGCUGUUCAAAGCACUAAAGGUGUUCAGCAAAUAUUUGGACUACUAUUCUGGAAUCCGCCCGGAGCCAGAGAAGGAAGCUAAAAAGGGAUUUAUAUUCGUGCAUUUUAAUUUAGGUUAAAAACCUGAGCAGUCUUAUGACGAACGGUGUAAAGGAUGAUAUACUGUACAGCUCUUUCAACCCAGAAUGACCCGUGAUGUUGCGAAGCUCGGAACACCCAAUGCAGAAUGAAUAAUUCAUAUUAAGGGAGAACGAGUUCAUCCGUUCUGUCACUUCUGUCCGGAAUGUGAUAUCCCCAAAAUGUUUUGUUGAUUUUAAAACGUA